UACGGGGGGAGCAAGCGUUGUUCGGAUUUACUGGGCGUAAAGGGCGCGUAGGCGGUCGUGACAAGUCACUUGUGGAAUCUCCGGGCUUAACUCGGAACGGCCAAGUGAAACUGUCAAGCUAGAGUGCAGAAGGGGCAAUCGGAAUUCUUGGUGUAGCGGUGAAAUGCGUAGAUAUCAAGAGGAACACCUGAGGUGAAGACGGGUUGCUGGGCUGACACUGACGCUGAGGCGCGAAAGCCAGGGGAGCAAACGGG
rnacentral:rRNA from 1 species